rnacentral:tRNA from 1 species
AAGAAUUUAAGUUAACAAAACUAUUAGCCUUCAAAGCCAACAUUAGAAAAAUUCUAAUUCUUA